GGAUUUAACGGACACUGUGGCUGGAAAGAGUCAGAGGAACGGCGAGCUGGGAAACCUGUAUGAUCAGGACUGAAGGAAAACUGUUAUUCUAUGAUGACUGAGGUUGCGAAGGCACAGACAGACUCGGUGGUGUCCAGUGUGGAGUCCAUGCUGGCGGACGCGGCCCGACUGCAGACGCAGUGCCGGGAGCGGAGCGGUGAGCUGGCAGUGGCUGCUGUGGAGCUGCACCAGGAGACCCAGAGCCUACGGGACCAGUGCGAGGCCACACAGCUGGACAUGGCCCGCCUCCGACGGACGCUGGACGACCUGCUGGACACAAAACACGCCUACGAGGCCCGAGAGAGACAGACCAGAAAACUCAGCAAGCAGCUGUAGAGAGAGCAGAGUAACUGAACAGGAGUCUAAAAGCUCAUUCGAAGUUGUUGAUCUCAUUUUCAUGAAAAUAAAUAAAAGUGUGUUAAGAAUAA